GGGGGUAUGGUGUAGUGGAUAGCAUAAGUGGCUACGGACCACUUGACCUCGGUUCGAAUCCGGGUACCCUCG
rnacentral:tRNA from 1 species